rnacentral:rRNA from 1 species
UACGGGAGGCAGCAGUAAGGAAUAUUGCGCAAUGGGCGAAAGCCUGACGCAGMGACGCCGCGUGGGGGAUGAAGGUCUUCGGAUUGUAAACCCCUUUCGGCAGGGAAGAUGGARCGAGCAAUCGUUCGGUCGGUACCUNCAGAAGCAGCCACGGCUAACUUCGUGCCAGCAGCCGMGGUAAUACGAAGGUGGCAAGCSUUGUUCGGAUUCACUGGGCGUACAGGGAGYGUAGGCGGUUAGGUAAGCCCUCCGUUAAAUCUUCNGNCCAACCCGGAAAGCGCGGAGGGGACUGCCNGGCUAGAGGACGGGAGAGGAGCGCGGAAUUCCCGGUGUAGCGGUGAAAUGCGUAGAGAUCGGGAGGAAGGCCGGUGGCGAAGGCGGCGCUCUGGAACAUUUCUGAUCGSUGAGGCUCGAAAGCGUGGUGA